rnacentral:misc_RNA from 1 species
AAAGAGAAUAUAUUAUCCAGAAUUUUGAGAGCCAACAAAAUCAAUUCACAAAACAAAAUAUCACCAAAAACAAUGUUAAAAAGGAGCUUCAAAUAUGAUUAUUCCAUUACAAUAAUUUCUUUUCCAUGAUUAAUUAAUCACAAAUUUAUUUUUCUUUUUAAUUUUUAUUCAAUCAUCAGUAUUUUUUGGACCGUACCUCUCAACUCUCUCAUCAAUCCACUCUCUCAUGUCUUUCAACACAAGAUUAGCAUUCUCAUCUGGCUCUCCUUGUAUCAAAGAAUGGUACAUUCCCUCAUACAACUUCAAGCUCUUAUCCUCACUUGAAGCCUUCUCAUACAACAACUGGGAUGAUGUAGGGCACGUGACACCAUCCGAGGUGCCAUGGACUGUCAAAAACGGCGCCGUAACUCUGGAGAAAUUAUCUUGUAUAUGUUGGCACACCCUAGCAAGUUCUCUCAUGGUCCCCACCCUAGGCUUGCCUGUGUAUCUUCUAGGGUUUGAUGCUAUGAUCUUCAGCUUUUCUGGGUCCUUGAUCGCUUUCCCUACCAUUUUAUUGUCUGGCAUCGCUGCCCACGUGUCAGCCCAUCCAAAGAGUAGCCCAUACAUGAAUAGGUGUAACUUACUGGGUUUCAUUGGUUCUGGGAUGACAAAAAGUGGGGCCGAGAAAAUCAAGCCCGUCCACGUGUUGGGUUCCGAUUGGAAGUACAUUAGCAUUGUGGCGGCCCCACCCAUCGACUCCCCAAACAAAAAUGCUGGUAAAUCCUUGUAUGAUUCGCUGUAGCGAACAUGCUUGAAGAAUGAUAAGGACGUUGCUGCGAUUUUCUCCAAAUCACCCAUAUAACAGCGUAGACCGUCAGAUCUGCCAUGCCCAAGAAGAUCAGCGGCAAAGACAGCAUAACCCCAGGUUGUAAAGUUGAUGCAGAUCUUUUGAAACAACCAACCAGUGUCAGAUCCAUAGCCGUGAGUCAUGUAAACCGAGCCUUUGACUUUCUGAUCCAACGGUAGGAAACUCUGCGUGAAGAGCUUCCCAUUGGGCGUCUCAAAGUAUGAUUUUGUAUUGGUGACUCCUUGUGAUGCAUAGUACUCCUCCUCCGGCAUGUGUCCCCAGAAGUUCGGUGGCGUUUCCGGGGACUCCAUGGUUUUUGCUUUUCUUUGGUUCCUGGAAAACUAGGUUUUGAUAGAGAGAGAGAGAGAGAAAAGUGUUUUGUGGGAAUCGGAUGGGGUAGAUUUUUAAAGGUGGAGACACAAGCGUUGAAGAGAAAGAAAAUUCAUUUUGAAGAGAGAAGAAAUAUAGAGUUUUACCAACUUUGAUGUG